AUCCUGUCUGAAUAUGGGGGGACCAUCCUCCAAGGCUAAAUACUCCUGACUGACCGAUAGUGAACCAGUACCGUGAGGGAAAGGCGAAAAGAACCCCGGCGAGGGGAGUGAAAAAGAACCUGAAACCGUGUACGUACAAGCAGUGGGAGCACGCUUAGGCGUGUGACUGCGUACCUUUUGUAUAAUGGGUCAGCGACUUAUAUUCUGUAGCAAGGUUAACCGAAUAGGGGAGCCGAAGGGAAACCGAGUCUUAACUGGGCGUUAAGUUGCAGGGUAUAGACCCGAAACCCGGUGAUCUAGCCAUGGGCAGGUUGAAGGUUGGGUAACACUAACUGGAGGACCGAACCGACUAAUGUUGAAAAAUUAGCGGAUGACUUGUGGCUGGGGGUGAAAGGCCAAUCAAACCGGGAGAUAGCUGGUUCUCCCCGAAAGCUAUUUAGGUAGCGCCUCGUGAAUUCAUCUCCGGGGGUAGAGCACUGUUUCGGCAAGGGGGUCAUCCCGACUUACCAACCCGAUGCAAACUGCGAAUACCGGAGAAUGUUAUCACGGGAGACACACGGCGGGUGCUAACGUCCGUCGUGAAGAGGGAAACAACCCAGACCGCCAGCUAAGGUCCCAAAGUCAUGGUUAAGUGGGAAACGAUGUGGGAAGGCCCAGACAGCCAGGAUGUUGGCUUAGAAGCAGCCAUCAUUUAAAGAAAGCGUAAUAGCUCACUGGUCGAGUCGGCCUGCGCGGAAGAUGUAACGGGGCUAAACCAUGCACCGAAGCUGCGGCAGCGACGCUUAUGCGUUGUUGGGUAGGGGAGCGUUCUGUAAGCCUGUGAAGGUGUGCUGUGAGGCAUGCUGGAGGUAUCAGAAGUGCGAAUGCUGACAUAAGUAACGAUAAAGCGGGUGAAAAGCCCGCUCGCCGGAAGACCAAGGGUUCCUGUCCAACGUUAAUCGGGGCAGGGUGAGUCGACCCCUAAGGCGAGGCCGAAAGGCGUAGUCGAUGGGAAACAGGUUAAUAUUCCUGUACUUGGUGUUACUGCGAAGGGGGGACGGAGAAGGCUAUGUUGGCCGGGCGACGGUUGUCCCGGUUUAAGCGUGUAGGCUGGUUUUCCAGGCAAAUCCGGAAAAUCAAGGCUGAGGCGUGAUGACGAGGCACUACGGUGCUGAAGCAACAAAUGCCCUGCUUCCAGGAAAAGCCUCUAAGCAUCAGGUAACAUCAAAUCGUACCCCAAACCGACACAGGUGGUCAGGUAGAGAAUACCAAGGCGCUUGAGAGAACUCGGGUGAAGGAACUAGGCAAAAUGGUGCCGUAACUUCGGGAGAAGGCACGCUGAUAUGUAGGUGAAGUCCCUCGCGGAUGGAGCUGAAAUCAGUCGAAGAUACCAGCUGGCUGCAACUGUUUAUUAAAAACACAGCACUGUGCAAACACGAAAGUGGACGUAUACGGUGUGACGCCUGCCCGGUGCCGGAAGGUUAAUUGAUGGGGUCAGCGCAAGCGAAGCUCUUGAUCGAAGCCCCGGUAAACGGCGGCCGUAACUAUAACGGUCCUAAGGUAGCGAAAUUCCUUGUCGGGUAAGUUCCGACCUGCACGAAUGGCGUAAUGAUGGCCAGGCUGUCUCCACCCGAGACUCAGUGAAAUUGAACUCGCUGUGAAGAUGCAGUGUACCCGCGGCAAGACGGAAAGACCCCGUGAACCUUUACUAUAGCUUGACACUGAACAUUGAGCCUUGAUGUGUAGGAUAGGUGGGAGGCUUAGAAGUGUGGACGCCAGUCUGCAUGGAGCCGACCUUGAAAUACCACCCUUUAAUGUUUGAUGUUCUAACGUUGACCCGUAAUCCGGGUUGCGGACAGUGUCUGGUGGGUAGUUUGACUGGGGCGGUCUCCUCCUAAAGAGUAACGGAGGAGCACGAAGGUUGGCUAAUCCUGGUCGGACAUCAGGAGGUUAGUGCAAUGGCAUAAGCCAGCUUGACUGCGAGCGUGACGGCGCGAGCAGGUGCGAAAGCAGGUCAUAGUGAUCCGGUGGUUCUGAAUGGAAGGGCCAUCGCUCAACGGAUAAAAGGUACUCCGGGGAUAACAGGCUGAUACCGCCCAAGAGUUCAUAUCGACGGCGGUGUUUGGCACCUCGAUGUCGGCUCAUCACAUCCUGGGGCUGAAGUAGGUCCCAAGGGUAUGGCUGUUCGCCAUUUAAAGUGGUACGCGAGCUGGGUUUAGAACGUCGUGAGACAGUUCGGUCCCUAUCUGCCGUGGGCGCUGGAGAACUGAGGGGGGCUGCUCCUAGUACGAGAGGACCGGAGUGGACGCAUCACUGGUGUUCGGGUUGUCAUGCCAAUGGCACUGCCCGGUAGCUAAAUGCGGAAGAGAUAAGUGCUGAAAGCAUCUAAGCACGAAACUUGCCCCGAGAUGAGUUCUCCCUGACCCUUUAAGGGUCCUGAAGG
rnacentral:rRNA from 1 species